GACCACUAUUUUUUUUUGAUAACUUAGGUGAUAUGAUUCGAACACCCAACUAAUUUUAGAAGUCGGUGAAAACCUUAUUUCCAUGUGUGUGACAAAUACGAAAAGUAGGUUUCGAACUCGAAACGCUCAACACUUUUCCGGAAUCAACAUACCACUCGACCACGACCGUGUGGGAUUUGACGACAGGUUGUUUUCAACUUCUUUUCUAUUUCAAGUAGCUUCCUUUUAUGGUCACCUUGUUCCCAACUUUGCAGGCUUUACAGCUUCGUUGAUCGACCCAGAAAAGUUAUAUUCCCUUUCGCAGUUUUUUGUUACAACAAAAACAAUAAGUCAAUCGUGAGAAACAUUUUUUUGUCAUCUUUGAAUUUCAUUUAACUUAAACGGAAGUACCAUCAUUACAAGCCAAAAGUCGACAAGUCGCAACUCUUUCGAAGACCAAAGCCGGAGAGUUCACAGAUCGAACAUCCUAGAGACCCAAAUUUAAAAACAUAAAUAGAACUAUUACUUUAGAGACUACCACAAGCAAAUGAUAAUGACUUGAAAUACUUAAUGAUCAAAGGAACUCAAACCGAAAUCCAUAGCAACACCAGGUCGCCAAUCAUAACCAAGAACCUGAAGACGCAUGAGUUGAACUCAGAAACAAAGACUUGAGAAGACCACAAUCCAUCACAGGUCACAACCACAACCUCACGAGAAAAAACACCGGCGGAAACAAUCAAAAACUGAAGCGCAAACGGAGCCAAUAACAACCACUAACACGUCUGCAAUAAGACCACACGCAACCCAAGAGAGGAAAGACACAAGGUUGAACCUUGAAACUCCAAGCGGGGAAAACGUCUAAAAGGAUCAGCAGCUCUUGCACGCGAGUGGUCACAUCCUCGCAAGAGAGAAGAGCGGAAGAUCGAACCCAUUGCUUCGUCUUGAUACCUCACACCAUACAGAGGAAGCAAGUAGAUGCCAACGUACCAUCCAAUAGACGAACCCAACAAAAGAGACCGUGAAAAACACAGAUUACCAACAACUCACGAGAACGAAGAGAAGCUGGAGCACACCUGAUCAAAAGCUACGACCAAAGAAAGAAGAUCGGCUUAAAGACACCAAGUCCGGAACAUAUAGCCUCCCCAUAUCCUAACCCGUUGAGAAGGCACUUCCACACCACUAAACUUCAAAGGAAGACAAGCCACAACCCCAGCCACACAAGACGAUUAACUAUCAUUAACCCAAAGCUAAGAGCGCCACAAAGGAGAACAUCCAGAGCUGAGAGAUUCAUGACCACGACUGAAGAACAGGACCAAAAGUAUAGAAAGACAGAUCUGAAAAAACCCCAAUCUAAAGAGAGAGGAAAACUACGAAGCAUAUUGACCGUAAGAUCUGAAAACCCAUAACCUCUGGCUUAAAAAUCACUCUCCACACUCCUCUGUUCACCUUCACGGCGGAUUCCUAGCCCUUCCUAGAUCGAACGGAAACUACAUAUAAGACAAGAGCAAACAAACAGAUCUAAAGAAAUUAAAAUGCAAGAGACCCGACUCCAGUGCUGUAGGAGCCACCGGAGUGGAUCAGCGGCGGCCACAAACGGAGGACUAGGUGUUAGGGCGAACUCGAGGCGAGCUAAUUAAUCUUUUCUCGUCUCCGUCUGUUUUGCCAACCGCUCUAGUUCCUUGAUCGUGAGAUACAUUAAACAUAGACAUAAUGUUUAAUCAUUUCCACAAUCCUUUUGUCCUUUUUAACAACGGAUUGUACAUUCGGAAAUAUAUUUGACCAUAUCAUAUUAUAGUCUUAAGGCAGUACAAAUAAUUUACAAACAGUAUACCUAAAUAAAUUAAAUCUACAUUUGUACAAA
rnacentral:lncRNA from 1 species